rnacentral:rRNA from 1 species
UACGGAGGGGGCUAGCGUUGUUCGGAAUUACUGGGCGUAAAGCGCACGUAGGCGGCUUUGUAAGUCAGAGGUGAAAGCCCGGGGCUCAACCCCGGAUGUGCCUUUGAGACUGCAUCGCUUGAACGUCGGAGAGGUGAGUGGAAUUCCGAGUGUAGAGGUGAAAUUCGUAGAUAUUCGGAAGAACACCAGUGGCGAAGGCGGCUCACUGGCCCGUAACUGACGCUGAGGCACGAAAGCGUGGGGAGCAACAGG